GGUUCCGUGGUGUAGUGGCUAUCACGUCUGCUUUACACGCAGAAGGUCUCCGGUUCGAGCCCGGACGGAACCA
rnacentral:tRNA from 1 species